rnacentral:rRNA from 1 species
CAGCCGCCACGGGAAUACGAAGGGUGCAAGCGUUACUCGGAAUUACUGGGCGUAAAGCGUGCGUAGGUGGUGGUUUAAGUCCGUUGUGAAAGCCCUGGGCCCAACCUGGGAAUUGCAGUGGAUACUGGGUCACUAGAGUGUGGUAGAGGAUAGUGGAAUUUCCGGUGUAGCAGUGAAAUGCGUAGAGAUCGGAAGGAACAUCUGUGGCGAAGGCGACUAUCUGGGCCAACACUGACACUGAGGCACGAAAGCGUGGGGAGCAAACAGGAUUAGAUACCCCCGUAGUCCCUGUCUCUUAUAC